CUCAAAGGAAUUGACGGGGGCCCGCACAAGCGGCGGAGCAUGUGGCUUAAUUCGACGCAACGCGAAGAACCUUACCAAGACUCGCCAUAAUAUUGAUUAUUGUAUAACAUACAAUUUCUCUUACGAGCAAUAUUACAGGUGGUGCAUGGCUGUCGUCAGCUCGUGUCGUGAGAUGUUGGGUUAAGUCCCGCAACGAGCGCAACCCUUUUCCCAUGUUGCCAGCAGUUCGGCUGGGCACUCUUGGGAUACAGCCGGUGUUAAACUGGAGGAAGGUGGGGACGACGUCAAGUCAUCAUGCCCUUUAUGUCUUGGGCCGCACACGUGCUACAAUGGCUUAUACAAAGAGUCGCGAUACCGUGAGGUGGAGCUAAUCUAAUAAAAUAAGCCUAAGUCCGGAUUGAAGGCUGAAAUUCGCCUUCAUGAAGUCGGAGUCGCUAGUAAUCGUGGAUCAGAACGCCACAGUGAAUACGUUCCCGGGCCUUGUACACACCGCCCGUCAC
rnacentral:rRNA from 1 species